rnacentral:misc_RNA from 1 species
GAGAAGAACGCAGCGAAAUGCGAUAAGUAAUGUGAAUUGCAGAAUUCAGUGAAUCAUCGAGUCUUUGAACGCACAUUGCGCCCCCUGGUAUUCCGGGGGGCAUGCCUGUCCGAGCGUCAUUGCCGCCCUCAAGCACGGCUUGUGUGUUGGGCCCCCGCCCCCCGGCUUCGGGGGGCGGGCCCGAAAGGCAGCGGCGGCACCGCGUCCGGUCCUCGAGCGUAUGGGGCUUCGUCACCCGCUCUGUAGGCCCGGCCGGCGCCCGCCGGCGACCCCAAUCAAUCUUUCCAGGUUGACCUCGGAUCAGGUAGGGAUACCCGCUGAACUUAAGCAUAUCAAUAAGCGGAGGA